UCUAAUUGCUGCUGCUAGUGGUUCAAUAAAAAUUGCAAACAGUGAAGGGGAGAGUGGGCAUCCCUGCCUGGUGCCCCUCAAGAGACAGAAGCUGGAGGAUGUCUGGUCAUUUGUUCUAACACAAGCUGUUGGGGAAUUAUAUAAUAUUUUUAACCAGUUUAUGAAAGAGGAUCCAAAACCAAAUUUGUGUAAAGUUGCAAAUAGAAAUUUCCAGUUAACUGUCGAAUGCUUUUUCUGCGUCUAAAGAGAAUAUUGUAGUUUCUAGGUUUUUACUGUAUGAGUAGUCUAUCAAAUUAAGUAAUCUACGUGUAUUUGUUGAUGAGUGCCUACCUUUUAUGAAACCAGUUUGGUCAGGAUGAAUUAAGAGGGGGGUUAUUUUCUCCAGUCUCUUUGAGAGAGCUUUGCAGAUUAUUUUAAGGUCUACGUUUAUAAGGGAUAUUGGACGAUAGCUUGAGGGAUAUACAGGGUCUUUGCCUGGUUUUAGCAGGAGAUUAAUGUUUGCAGAAUUCAUAUUUGAUGGAAGUCUGCCCUUUUCUUUAAUUUCCAACAACGUUCUGUAGAAAACUGGUGCUAGAAUCGACCAGAAUUCUUUGUAGAAUUCUGCAGGAAAGCCGUCUGGACCUGGAGCCUUAUUAUUGGGCAUACUUAUCAGGGCUUCUUGGAGUUCACCUGGUGUCAGUGGUGAAUCCAGUGCCAUUGCUUGAGUGUCCAAUAAUUUUGGAAGAGUUAUGUUGUCCAAAAACUGAUCAAUUUCUUUUUUAGAUGGGUUUAUUUGUGGUGAAUACAACGUUUUAUAGAAAUCCCUGAAAAUGUUGUUUAUUUGUAUCGGAUCAUAUAUUGUGUUCCCAGAUGAAUCUUGAACAGCACAUAUAGUUGUUUUUUCUUUAUUUAUUUUUAGCUGGUUUGCUAGAAAUUGACCGGAUUUAUUACCAUGUUCAUAAUUUUGUAGGCGUAGUCUUUGUACUAAGAAUUUUGUUUUUUUAUCAAUUAUCUCAUUUAAUUCUAGUUUUGUUUUGCGUAUUUUGUUCAAUGUUUCCUGAUCUUGGUGGGACGCGUAGGCUUCUUCUAGUGAUUUGAUGUUUUUUUCUAAUUCCUGAAUAUUUAACGAGGUUAGUCAUUAAUGUAUUGCUGCAUGGGCUGGGCUGUAAUUGCAUCGUAAGGUUUUAAAAACUGAGCUUUAAAAUGAAUAGUGAUAAUAAAAACUGAGAGAGGUCGACAGUGAUCACUGACUUUUUUUAGGGGCUUGUUCAGAUUAAAUAGAAAAAGAUACAAAGCAUUAAGACACAACAGCUUUAAUAAACACAGAGUAGUUUGGACCUGGAAGCAGGGUUCAUAUGUCAUCACUUAAAGACCGGAUAUCCCACCUGCUUUGAUGUCUUAAUGCAGUACAGUUGUUAUUAUAUCACUUGUCGCAUCCUGUUUAUGACAGUUAAAAUAAAUAACAUCCAUAUAAGAAAUAAAAUUGUCUUGUGUAAACUGUAUAUGGUGUUAAAUAGGCCUAUACUACUGUACUUUAAUGUCGGGCAUAAGGGUGGUACUUUAAGAACCAUAUAUUUUAUACGGUGGUACUCAUUGUGAAAAGUUUGAGAACCACUGACCUAAAGGAUUAAUUAUUAGAAUCUCGGCUUCAGAUAGGGUGUCAACCAUUAUAACCUUGUUGGAUAGAUCAACAAAUGAAGCUGGGUUCAUUUAAAGAUCUAACUAGGCCUGUUGUCUUAUUGGUCCUCUUUCCCAAGAUUGAAAGAACUUUCUAAAAUCUUUUGAAAAAAGAUUCUGAAUUCUAAUAAGGAUUUUCUAAAUAUUAUAUAGAAAAUCAUUUCACUAAAAACACAAUAAAAAUUGUAUUGAAGAAUCAGGCAAGUUACAGAAUCAAGUGUUGUUUAUUUUGUCUACACUUUCCAGGUCUAUACUACCGUAGCAAAGGGUGUCAUGGUCCUGAGUCUGCCGACUCAGUGUUUUAUGUUUCUUUAUGCUUUUGUUCAUUUAUACAUAUUCUGUUACGAAUUGCCAUUUGUUAGGUUUCUGUUCUGUGCUUUCCCUGGUUCCACUUCUGUGUUCUGUCUGUCUAUGGUGUCACACUGUCUGUGUGUGAAUCUGUCUGUUUAGUUCAGCGUCUUGUCCAGUUCUGUGUCUGUGAGUUUCCUGUUUUAUUCUGAAGGUCUCUAUCUCAUGUGAGUGUGUUCAGUUUACGUUUCCCCUGUCCCGUCAGCUUUGAUGUUCUCCUGCCUGUUGCCGGUUCGUCACUGCCUCUCCCCCAUUCUGGAACCCUCUCAGGUUUGUCAUUUAGCUUUCCCAGUGUAGGUCUUUAGUUUUGUCUUCCUUCUUUGCCUGUUUUGCCAUCUCACCACUGUGUAAAUAAAACAUCACUAGCAUUAUCAUCUACUGCCUGCGUUUUGGGUCCUUUCUCCCUUCUACACCACACGGCUCGCCUCGGCAGCCGUGACAAAGGGUUUAUAUAUGACAUAUAAAUAUAUAUAUAUAUAUAUGUAUGUGUACAUGAUAUACCCCAAUGAAGAUAAUUAGAUGGCAUGAGUUUUAUAUUUAAUUUGUCAAUUUACAAUUAACUGUGUAAUUAAUUUAAAUAAUGUUUCAAACAAUUGGGUUCUUAUAUAAUUCGAAAUUUACCAAAAGAAAAAUAUUGCAGUGAUGUGAAUGGUUUUGGAAAAAGAUUUAUUUAGGGAUCAAAUUUAUGUUAAACAUGCAUUUUUCUUUCAUUUAAAUAUGAAUAUAUAUGGAGUCACAGUUUUCAAAUAUUCUUGUUAGUUUUGAUUUUACUGUAUUCUUUGUGCUUCUGUAUUCUAACACAAGACAACAGAAUAAAUAUGUUGAAAGAAGAUUAAUUAGAAAUCAGCAUAAAAAUGUAAUUAGAAAUGUUAAGAUUAUCUGUUAAACUUUAAUAUUUUGCAUUUGUGAAAAAAAUAACAUGUUAAAGGAAUACUUUUACAUUACAUAACUAGUUGUUUAAAAAUUAGAUGAUUGACAUCAGACUGGUACUCUUACGUUGUUAGGUUAAUAUGAUUAACGGGAAAAACACAUUUUCCAAAUACACACAUAUUAAUAUAACUAAAAAGUAAAACAAAAGGUAAAUGGACUGAUUUUUAUGUAGCACUUUUCUUGCCUCUCAUUUUUUCUUUAUACAUCCUUGCUUGCAGUAGGCACAAUAACGGGAGCAACAGCGAUAACAGGAAAGUCUGAGCUGACUGAGGAGUCCAGGAGAUCUCUCUGGUGCUGCUUCAGAUUCUUCUACCUUUAUUUGCUCUUGAUAGAUAUUUGGAGAAUCUAGUUGAACUGUUUGAUUAGCUUUGUUGCUAGUUGUCAGUGUCUUAGACGCUUUGUUUUGUAUGUAGAAUUUCUCAAUCUCACUAAGCAUGCGGACCUUAAGUUGUUGGAGCUCGGUAUAUUUUUCAUCAAGUGAUUUGUGUUCUCCAUCCCUGCCACUUACAGAUAAAAACGUAUUACUUUGCCCAUGUUCCAACAUUUUUCUUGUUUUCUCAACUGAUGUCUUUUCUUUCUGAAAUAUUGAUCUCCUAACAAAAUGAUUGAUCACCUUUACUCUUUUAUCCAUAUUGUUUCUCAUUUCUUGACCUCUGAGCUUCAUCUGAUUUAUUUCAUUUCGUUCUAUUCUAGUGUCCUUCCAGAUUUGUUUCAAAAACUCAGUUUUUAAAAUUCCCUUCUGUGUGAAGUCAUCUUCCUCUGCUGACAAGAUGGACAACGUUGCAAGAUUUGUUUUCUUGACAUUUCCAAAUUCUUCACCUUCUCCUACUAACAGCAGACCUUCCUUGUCAGGUGUCAAGUAUCUUUUGCUUCCUUCAAGAUUAACUGCAACAUCCUUCAUCCUCUGCUUAAAUUCAUGUUCAUUGGUCUCUUCAUCCUGAUGCUCAUGUAAGCAUUGUUUUACAACAUCCUCAGUUUGGAUUGCUUUGUCAAAUGUUGUCUUAAACACAUGUUUCUUUUGUUGUUGUAUCUUGUCAUAAUCUGCAGUAAUUUUAAUUUUCUGCUUAUAAAUUCUGACCCAAUUUUGUUCAUAUGUGGAGAUCACUUGUAAUAUUUUUUCAUUUUCCCCCUCUACUCUCUUAAUAUAUGUCGGCAAGUCUUGAUGAAUCAGUCUAUUUAGUUUUCCUAUAAGGUUUCUUGUAGAGAUUGUAACACUACUGAGGAUGUCCUCUCUGGGUUGUACAUCAGACAGUUCACCUUUCAGGGAUUUCCUCGCAAUUAGUUUCACUUUCAGAAUCUCUAGUGAUUUCAUUUCAUCCAUGACUUGGUCUCCCCUCAUUUCCAUCCCAGACUGCUGUUCUUCCACAUUUCUCCUUUCCUUCAACAACAGUUCUUGUUCUUUGGCAAUGUCAGUCUUCAUCUCUUUCAUCUCUUCUUUUUCUUCACUCAUGAUUCCCUUUGCACGUUCAAGCUCUUCUUGCUUCUUCUUCAGAUUCCUCAUCAGACUCUCCACUUUUGCUCUUUCACUCUGUAAUUCCUUUUUCAUGAUUUCCACUUCUUUUGUUUGUCUUCUGAGGUCAUCUUCCUUGACUUUUUCUUCAUUAUGUGUUAAGAAAAUCUUGCUUAAAAUGUCUUCAAGUCUUUCUUUUUCCAUUUGAACCUGAAGGAUACAAUUUUUAAUCUUGGCUUUUUCUUCAUUUGUCUCAUGUAACAGCCUGUUUACAUGUUCCAUCUUAUUGAGCAGUUCAAGCUUUAUGAUUUCCAUUGAGUCUCGUUCUUCUUUUAUAUUUUGUUUCUUUUCUUCCAAUAUUUCAAAUUGUUUCUUGAUGUCAGACAUCAACACCUUCAAAUCCAUUUUCUCUCUAUUCAGCUCCUCACUUUCUCUCUCCAGAUCUUCUCUGUCGUGUCUCAGAUCUUCUUUCACUUCAUCAAGCUCUCGUUUGUCCAGUUCAAACUGCUGCUUCCAUUCAUUUUCUGUGCAUUCUCUCUUGGUGACCAUGUCUGAAAGGAUACUUCUCACACCUUCCUUUUCUCUCUCUAACAUUUCAGUGAAACAGCGAAUGCUUUCUUUCAGUUCAUCUUGGGUUGGAAGUUUUUCUUUCAACACUGUUUGCAGCCUUGACCUGUUGUCAACAUUUUGUAGUAAUCUCUCCAUUUUGGCUUUUAUAUCCUCCUUCAGUUGUUGAAGUUUCACUUUCAGAAUCUCUAGCAAUUUCAUUUCAUCCAUGACUUGGUCUCCUCUCAUUUCCAUCUCAGACCGCUCUUCUUCCAUAUUUCUCCUUUCCUUCAACAACAGUUCUUGUUCUUUGGCAAUGUCAGUCUUCAUCUCUUUCAUCUCUUCUUUUUCUUCACUCAUGAUUCCCUUUGCACGUUCAAGCUCUUCUUGCUUCUUCUUCAGAUUCCUCAUCAGACUCUCCACUUUUGCUCUUUCACUCUGUAAUUCCUUUUUCAUGAUUUUCACUUCUUUUGUUUGACUUCUGAGUUCAUCUUCCUUGACUUUUUCUUCAUUAUGUGUUAAGAAAAUCUUGCUUAAAAUGUCUUCAAGUCUUUCUUUUUCCGUUUGAACCUGAAGGAUACAAUUUUUAAUCUUGGCUUUUUCGUCAUUUGUCUCAUGUAACAGCCUGUUUACAUGUUCCAUCUUAUUGAGCAGUUCAAGCUUUAUGGUUUCCAUUGAGUCUCGUUCUUCUUUUAUAUUUUGUUUCUUUUCUUCCAAUAUUUCAAAUUGUUUCUUGAUGUCAGACAUCAACACCUUCAAAUCCAUUUUCUCUUUAUUCAGCACCUCACUUUCUCUCUCCAGAUCUUCUCUGUCGUGUCUCAGAUUUUCUUUCACUUCAUCAAGCUCUCGUUUGUCCAAUUCAAACUGCUGCUUCCAUUCAUUUUCUGUGCUUUCUCUCUUGGUGACCAUUUCUGAAAGGAUACUUCUCACACCUUCCUUUUCUCUCUCUAACAUUUCAGUGAAACAGCGAAUGCUUUCUUUCAGUUCGUCUUGGGUUGGAAGUUUUUCUUCCAACACUGUUUGCAGCCUUGACCUGUUGUCAACAUUUUGUAGUAAUCUCUCCAUUUUGGCUUUUAUAUCCUCCUUCAGUUGUUGAAGUUUCACUUUCAGAAUCUCUAGCAAUUUCAUUUCAUCCAUGACUUGGUCUCCUCUCAUUUCCAUCUCAGACCGCUCUUCUUCCAUAUUUCUCCUUUCCUUCAACAACAGUUCUCGUUCUUUGGCAAUGUCAGUCUUCAUCUCUUUCAUCUCUUCUUUUUCUUCACUCAUGAUUCCCUUUGCACGUUCAAGCUCUUCUUGCUUCUUCUUCAGAUUCCUCAUCAGACUCUCCACUUUUGCUCUUUCACUCUGUAAUUCCUUUUUCAUGAUUUCCACUUCUUUUGUUUGACUUCUGAGUUCAUCUUCCUUGACUUUUUCUUCAUUAUGUGUUAAGAAAAUCUUGCUUAAAAUGUCUUCAAGUCUUUCUUUUUCCGUUUGAACCUGAAGGAUACAAUUUUUAAUCUUGGCUUUUUCGUCAUUUGUCUCAUGUAACAGCCUGUUUACAUGUUCCAUCUUAUUGAGCAGUUCAAGCUUUAUGGUUUCCAUUGAGUCUCGUUCUUCUUUUAUAUUUUGUUUCUUUUCUUCCAAUAUUUCAAAUUGUUUCUUGAUGUCAGACAUCAACACCUUCAAAUCCAUUUUCUCUUUAUUCAACACCUCACUUUCUCUCUCCAGAUCUUCUCUGUCAUGUUUUAGAUCUUCUUUCACUUUAUCAAGUUCUCGUUUGUCCAGUUCAAACUGCUUCUUCCAUUCAUUUUCUGUGCAUUCUCUCUUGGUGACCAUGUCUGAAAGGAUACUUCUCACACCUUCCUUUUCUCUCUCUAACAUUUCAGUGAAACAGCGAAUGCUUUCUUUCAGUUCGUCUUGGGUUGGAAGUUUUUCUUCCAACACUGUUUGCAGCCUUGACCUGUUGUCAACAUUUUGUAGUAAUCUCUCCAUUUUGGCUUUUAUAUCCUCCUUCAGUUGUUGAAGUUUCACUUUCAGAAUCUCUAGCAAUUUCAUUUCAUCCAUGACUUGGUCUCCUCUCAUUUCCAUCUCAGACCGCUCUUCUUCCAUAUUUCUCCUUUCCUUCAACAACAGUUCUCGUUCUUUGGCAAUGUCAGUCUUCAUCUCUUUCAUCUCUUCUUUUUCUUCACUCAUGAUUCCCUUUGCACGCCCAAGCUCUUCUUGCUUCUUCUUCAGAUUCCUCAUCAGACUCUCCACUUUUGCUCUUUCACUCUGUAAUUCCUUUUUCAUGAUUUCCACUUCUUUUGUUUGACUUCUGAGGCCAUCUUCCUUGACUUUUUCUUCAUUAUGUGUUAAGAAAAUCUUGCUUAAAAUGUCUUCAAGUCUUUCUUUUUCCGUUUGAACCUGAAGGAUACAAUUUUUAAUCUUGGCUUUUUCGUCAUUUGUCUCAUGUAACAGCCUGUUUACAUGUUCCAUCUUAUUGAGCAGUUCAAGCUUUAUGGUUUCCAUUGAGUCUCGUUCUUCUUUUAUAUUUUGUUUCUUUUCUUCCAAUAUUUCAAAUUGUUUCAUGAUGUCAGACAUCAACACCUUCAAAUCCAUUUUCUCUUUAUUCAACACCUCACUUUCUCUCUCCAGAUCUUCUCUGUCAUGUCUCAGAUCUUCUUUCACUUUAUCAAGUUCUCGUUUGUCCAGUUCAAACUGCUUCUUCCAUUCAUUUUCUGUGCAUUCUCUCUUGGUGACCAUGUCUGAAAGGAUACUUCUCACACCUUCCUUUUCUCUCUCUAACAUUUCAGUGAAACAGCGAAUGCUUUCUUUCAGUUCGUCUUGGGUUGGAAGUUUUUCUUCCAACACUGUUUGCAGCCUUGACCUGUUGUCAACAUUUUGUAGUAAUCUCUCCAUUUUGGCUUUUAUAUCCUCCUUCAGUUGUUGAAGUUUCACUUUCAGAAUCUCUAGCAAUUUCAUUUCAUCCAUGACUUGGUCUCCUCUCAUUUCCAUCUCAGACCGCUCUUCUUCCAUAUUUCUCCUUUCCUUCAACAACAGUUCUCGUUCUUUGGCAAUGUCAGUCUUCAUCUCUUUCAUCUCUUCUUUUUCUUCACUCAUGAUUUCCUUUGCACGUUCAAGCUCUUCUUGCUUCUUCUUCAGAUUCCUCAUCAGACUCUCCACUUUUGCUCUUUCACUCUGUAAUUCCUUUUUCAUGAUUUCCACUUCUUUUGUUUGUAUUCUGAGGUCAUCUUCCUUGACUUUUUCUUCAUUAUGUGUUAAGAAAAUCUUGCUUAAAAUGUCUUCAAGUCUUUCUUUUUCCAUUUGAACCUGAAGGAUACAAUUUUUAAUCUUGGCUUUUUCGUCAUUUGUCUCAUGUAACAGCCUGUUUACAUGUUCCAUCUUAUCGAGCAGUUCAAGCUUUAUGGUUUCCAUUGAGUCUCGUUCUUCUUUUAUAUUUUGUUUCUUUUCUUCCAAUAUUUCAAAUUGUUUCUUGAUGUCAGACAUCAACACCUUCAAAUCCAUUUUCUCUUUAUUCAGCACCUCACUUUCUCUCUCCAGAUCUUCUCUGUCGUGUCUCAGAUCUUCUUUCACUUUAUCAAGCUCUCGUUUGUCCAGUUCAAACUGCUGCUUCCAUUCAUUUUCUGUGCAUUCUCUCUUGGUGACCAUUUCUGAAAGGAUACUUCUCACACCUUCCUUUUCUCUCUCUAACAUUUCAGUGAAACAGCGAAUGCUUUCUUUCAGUUCGUCUUGGGUUGGAAGUUUUUCUUCCAACACUGUUUGCAGCCUUGACCUGUUGUCAACAUUUUGUAGUAAUCUCUCCAUUUUGGCUUUUAUAUCCUCCUUCAGUUGUUGAAGUUUCACUUUCAGAAUCUCUAGCAAUUUCAUUUCAUCCAUGACUUGGUCUCCUCUCAUUUCCAUCUCAGACCGCUCUUCUUCCAUAUUUCUCCUUUCCUUCAACAACAGUUCUCGUUCUUUGGCAAUGUCAGUCUUCAUCUCUUUCAUCUCUUCUUUUUCUCCACUCAUGAUUCCUUUGCACGUUCAAGCUCUUCUUGCUUCUUCUUCAGAUUCCUCAUCAGACUCUCCACUUUUGCUCUUUCACUCUGUAAUUCCUUUUUCAUGAUUUCCACUUCUUUUGUUUGUCUUCUGAGGCCAUCUUCCUUGACUUUUUCUUCAUUAUGUGUUAAGAAAAUCUUGCUUAAAAUGUCUUCAAGUCUUUCUUUUUCCGUUUGAACCUGAAGGAUACAAUUUUUAAUCUUGGCUUUUUCGUCAUUUGUCUCAUGUAACAGCCUGUUUACAUGUUCCAUCUUAUUGAGCAGUUUAAGCUUUAUGGUUUCCAUUGAGUCUCGUUCUUCUUUUAUAUUUUGUUUCUUUUCUUCCAAUAUUUCAAAUUGUUUCAUGAUGUCAGACAUCAACACCUUCAAAUCCAUUUUCUCUUUAUUCAGCACCUCACUUUCUCUCUCCAGAUCUUCUCUGUCGUGUCUCAGAUCUUCUUUCACUUCAUCAAGCUCUCGUUUGUCCAGUUCAACCUGCUGCUUCCAUUCAUUUUCUGUGCUUUCUCUCUUGGUGACCAUUUCUGAAAGGAUACUUCUCACACCUUCCUUUUCUCUCUCUAACAUUUCAGUGAAACAGCGAAUGCUUUCUUUCAGUUCGUCUUGGGUUGGAAGUUUUUCUUCCAACACUGUUUGCAGCCUUGACCUGUUGUCAACAUUUUGUAGUAAUCUCUCCAUUUUGGCUUUUAUAUCCUCCUUCAGUUGUUGAAGUUUCACUUUCAGAAUCUCUAGCAAUUUCAUUUCAUCCAUGACUUGGUCUCCUCUCAUUUCCAUCUCAGACCGCUCUUCUUCCAUAUUUCUCCUUUCCUUCAACAACAGUUCUCGUUCUUUGGCAAUGUCAGUCUUCAUCUCUUUCAUCUCUUCUUUUUCUCCACUCAUGAUUUCCUUUGCACGUUCAAGCUCUUCUUGCUUCUUCUUCAGAUUCCUCAUCAGACUCUCCACUUUUGCUCUUUCACUCUGUAAUUCCUUUUUCAUGAUUUCCACUUCUUUUGUUUGUCUUCUGAGGCCAUAUUCCUUGACUUUUUCUUCAUUAUGUGUUAAGAAAAUCUUGCUUAAAAUGUCUUCAAGUCUUUCUUUUUCCAUUUGAACCUGAAGGAUACAAUUUUUAAUCUUGGCUUUUUCGUCAUUUGUCUCAUGUAACAGCCUGUUUACAUGUUCCAUCUUAUUGAGCAGUUCAAGCUUUAUGGUUUCCAUUGAGUCUCGUUCUUCUUUUAUAUUUUGUUUCUUUUCUUCCAAUAUUUCAAAUUGUUUCAUGAUGUCAGACAUCAACACCUUCAAAUCCAUUUUCUCUUUAUUCAGCACCUCACUUUCUCUCUCCAGAUCUUCUCUGUCGUGUCUCAGAUCUUCUUUCACUUUAUCAAGCUCUCGUUUGUCCAGUUCAAACUGCUGCUUCCAUUCAUUUUCUGUGCAUUCUCUCUUGGUGACCAUGUCUGAAAGGAUACUUCUCACACCUUCCUUUUCUCUCUCUAACAUUUCAGUGAAACAGCGAAUGCUUUCUUUCAGUUCGUCUUGGGUUGGAAGUUUUUCUUCCAACACUGUUUGCAGCCUUGACCUGUUGUCAACAUUUUGUAGUAAUCUCUCCAUUUUGGCUUUUAUAUCCCCCUUCAGUUGUUGAAGUUUCACUUUCAGAAUCUCUAGCGAUUUCAUUUCAUCCAUGACUUGGUCUCCUCUCAUUUCCAUCUCUUUCUCUUCAUCUUUGAUGUUUCUCCUUACCUUCAACAACAGUUCUUUUCUAUUCUCACGUCUAGUUUUCAUCUGGAUGACUUUUUCUUUUUCCUGGUUACAUUUUUUUAUCUCUUUUUUUAUCAAGUCUUGUUUUGUGUCUUGUAAGAUCACCCUUUUUAUACCAUCCUUAGUCGUUUCUCUUUUAUAUUCUUUCUUUACAGUCAGAUACUCAGUACUGUGUUUUUCUUUUUGUUUGCCCCAAAACAUUUUAUUGAAAUCUUUCAGUUUCAUUUUUUUUUCAGUUUCUUUUAUUUCAGUUGUUUUCCUUUCCUCUUUUAUGUUUUCAUUUUUUUGUUUUAAUAUGUCUAUUUCUUUUUUGAUUUUACAGCCUCUCAUGUCAAGUUUCUGGUUCUUUUUCAACAACUCUUUCACUCUUUCAAGAUCCUCUUUGUCUUGACUCUCGUCUGCACUUAAGUCAUCCAAGGCAUCUUUUUCUAUCUCAUAUAUUUUUUCCCUUUCAUUUUCAUGCUUUCCUUGCUCCGUCUUGAUUUUUGUCUCCACUUGUUCCCCAUGUUUUGGCUCUUGUUGUAUGUUUUUUAAUGCACACCGUAUAAUUUCCUUUUGCCUAUUUAAUUCACUUUUAAUAUUCAGUGUUUCUUUCCUUUUGGUCAUGUAGAAAUUUUUUUGGUCUUGCAUGUGUUUAUUUUCAUUCUGAAUUAUUCCAAUGAUGAAUUGAGUGUUUUUAAUUACCUUUUUAUAUUCCCCUAAGUAUUUCUUGAUUAGUUCCCAUUGUUUUUGAAUUUGUUUCCUUUUUUCUUUCAUCCUCAUGUCUUCAAUUUCACUUUGCAUCCCUUUCUUUUCUUUUUGCAACUUCUGCUUUAUUUCUUGUUCACCUUGAUGUUUGAUGAUCUCCUCUCGUCGUUGUUCAACCUCCUUUUUCUGCUUUGUUUCUCUCACGAGGGCAGUUCUUUCUUCUUUGAAAGUAGCCCAUAUUCUUUUUAUCUUCUGUUCUUUUUGAAUGCUUCUUUUGAUUACACGUUGGUUUUCUCUUUUCUUCAUCUCCAGCUCAACCACCAGAACUUCUAUCUCUUGUCUUUCCCUUUUAAUAUUUUCUAGUCUCAUAUCAAGCUUCUGUUUUUCUCUUUGGAUUUUUUCCCAGAUGUUGAUUGUUUCAUCCAUCUCUGCAGUGUCUUGUAUGGUAACUCUUCCAAAGAGUAUAUUAAGCUGAUAUUUUAACCUCUUCAUUUUGUUUGUUAUAUUCUUAUUUUCAGCCUCAACUUCUCUGAAUCCUUUUUUGUCCUUUUCUAAAUGAGCAUUCACAUUUUCUAGAAUUUUCAUCUCUGUCCUAAUUGUUCCCAUGUGUAAAUUAAACUUGUCUCUUAUGUCUUGGAUGUAAAUAGUAUACUGAGAAACUUUUAAGCUGUGGUUUUUGAUUUUCUCCAUUAACAUUUUCACAUCUUUCCUUCCAAAAUGUUUUUCAUGUUCAUUGGGUAGAUGGAUGAACAGAUUAUGGUCUCUCUGCUUCUCCUCAGCCAGCUCUUCCAUCUGUCGUUUCAAUUUUACCCUUAACACUUCUAGUUCAUCCCUUUUUCUCAUAGUCAUCUCCAGUCUUUGGUCUAAUUCUCUUCUUUUCUUUUUGAUCUCGGUCCUCAAUGCUUCCUUUUCUUGUUGUAUUUCAUACCACAUUAUUUCAAUUUCCUCCUUUUUUCUCAUACUUUUUCUAAAAAAACGCUCAAAUUCUUUUACCUUUAUUUUCAAUUCUGAUUGCAGCAGCUCCAUUUCUCUUAUUUGCCUUUUGGUCAUGUGUACUCCGUCAUCAAGCUCCUGUUCUUUUCUUUCAGUUUUCUCCCUCAAAUGGUUCACCUGUUCCUCCUGUAUUUCUGUUUCAGUUAGCUGUUUAACCAUUUUCUCAUUCUUUAUCGCUGUUUGGAUCUGUUCUGUCAUCUCAGUCUCUUCUCUCUUGAUUAUUUGUUUUACAUUCUCACUAACUGAUUUUUUAUUUUUUUGACCCAGACUGUCUAAUGAAAGUUUUACCUCCUCCAGUUUCUCAUUAACUUGUUUGAGGCUUUCUGUUCCCUCAGUUUCUUUGUCCAUUUUGUUUUUUGUCAGUUUAUCUCUUUUAUUGUCCAUUGUCUUCUUAAUUUCAGUCUUGAAAAUUUCAAGAGCAGUUCUUUGCUUAGGUGUACUACCAUGUUCCAUGUCUGGUUUUGCGCCUUUUGUCAAGUUAAGGUUAAUGCAGUCAAGGUCUUUAAACUGUCUUAGUUUUAUUUCAGUCUCCUUCAUACUAAUUUCUAUCUCUUCAAUUUUCCUUCUGGUCUUAGCAGCUAUUUUCUCGACUGUGCUCUUAACUUUUGCCAUUUUUUCUAAAUUCUGCCGAAUCAGUUCAGUUUGCCUCUGCAUUUUUAUUUUAAAGAUGUCUAAUCCAUCUCUCUCUUUCAAAGUAUUUUCUAAUCUUUGAUCUAAUUCUCUUCUCUUCUUUUUCACUGCAGUUUUCAUUGAUUUUAUAUUGCUCAUUUCUUCUGUCAUAUGUACUUCACUUUGCUUUAUUUUGGUUUUUACAAUUUCCAAAAACUCUUGAAACUGUUUGAUGUCUUUUAGCAAUCCUUCAAUUUCACUGCCUUCAUUCUGUUGAUAUUUGUCCAUGUUAUUUUUUUCCGCUAGGUUCUCAAGUCCUCCUCUUAGCGUUCUUAUAAUCUCUUGUGUUUUGUAAAUCUCUGCCCUGAGUCUUUGUAUAUCGGCUCCUCUGUCCUUUUUAUCUUCAUCGGUGUGUUCAACAUGUUUUUUCAUCUCUUCUCCUGAUUUCUGAAUUAGUUUUUGCUUGUUAACAUUAAGCCUUAUCAAGCUAGACUCUUGUUUUAUUUUUUUGGCAUCGUCCCCCUCUUGUACUUCAUAUUUUAUUAUUUCAUUUUUGAAAACUUUGGUGUUCAGCAUCAAAAUCUUUCUCUGUUCAGUUUCUUCCAACAGCUUAGUUAAUACUUCCUGGGCAUUUUCAGUUUCCCCGACUGUAAUUACAGUGUCUGCCCUCUGCAGGUCAUUUAUUUCCAAAAUGAGCCUUUUUAUAUCUUGAGUUUUUUCGUUCAUGUUAUCAAUAGUGUACUUUAUUUGUUCCUUUAUUUCCCCCUCUUGCUGCUUUAGGUUACGUAUCAGUUUUUCCACUUCUUCCCUUUCUCUUACAAUUAUCAGUAAUUCAGUUUUAUCAUGCACUACUUCUUCAUGAAUUUCAGUUCGCAUCUGUAAGCAAAAGUCCUGCUCCCCAUUUUUGCCUUCUGCAAAACAAUAUUUGGAUUCAAAAUGCUCCUUCUGUUGUUCUUUUAUUUUUUUAUUUUGAUGCUGAUCAUCUAAUGUUACAGAAUUUUGUAAUGAUGUUGUAUCUGUUAUACUUUUUUUCCCUUUUUUGUCCUUUGGAAUUGCUGAUGUUUGAUCCUCAAGGGAGUCUGUGUCUAUUUCAUACUGUGAUUCUUGAAGUUUGGAUGCGUUCACUGAAAAAGUAUGUUUGAUUGUAGAUUGUGCCAAUAUCCAUUUGUUGACCCAAGUUUUCAUGGAUGUCAGUUUUUCCUUCACAAAAACAGAAAAAAAGAGCUUUUUUUGUUUUUGAUGACACCAAGACAACAAUAAAGAUCUUCUUAAAACAUCUAUGUUUUAAUUUUUUGUUUCACAUUUAUGGAUCUUACUAGGGUUGGGCCAUAUGUAAAAAUUUUCCAACCGACAAUUGUCAGUCCAAUAAUCGACGAUGGGCGAUAUAUUCGCGCAUACGCAGACUUGUUGAUUGGCAGAGCAAUGUAGCCAUGCAUGGAGUGAUUUGCACAUUUACAACACAGAUGAAGUCCAAACAUGGACGAACUAAUUUCCCCAAAAAAUUAGGGCUGUCAACAUUUAUGCGGUCAUCACGAUUAACCCAUCUGGAGUGCAGAAUGAAUAAACUUUGGACAAACUGCUCGAAAUGCGUUGAGAGAGACAUUUAAGGGAUUUUGACUCAGUCUGCGAUCCAGAUGGGUUAAUUGUUAAACGCGUUAGUCGUGAUGGUGGCACUUUAACGUUGACAGCACUAAAGAAAUAUAAAGUUGCCAAGUUGGGAUUUCUUUGGCUUUAAACCAGAUGAAAAUAGUAAACCUAAGGAUGUAACCAAAACGGUCUGCCCCUUGUGCAGAUGUAUAAGUAUAAGUACUCAAACACGACUAACUUGCAUGAGCAUGUACGUGUCCACCAUCUGGCUGAGUAUGCUAGUGUAGUGAAGCAGAUUUUGGGGUAGGAUUUUACGUGAUGUCCUCGAUUGCAGCACUAACAUCCACCUUCCCAGCUGAUAAUUAGCAACCUUAUAAGAAACAGCUGCGCUUCACUACCACAUGGAGGUAUUUGGCAGUCUUUUCCCAUCCAAGGUGGCUGAGAGCAUUAGGCAGCUUAAGCACUGCAGAGCUCCUCAGGAAAGCUGCUCAUUUUAGUAUUGCCCUUUAGUAGUGAUGGCCAAAUGAAGCUUUCCGAAGCACUGAAGCUUGUAUUGAAAAACGGUUCAUUACUCGAAGCUUUUCAACACAGUCCUCUCUGGUGACAUCUGGUGGCCAAAAAUACAAAGAGCAGCUUGAAUCCACAAAAUAAAACCAACUGCUUCAUUAUGAUUGCCCACUCUACUGAGUGGAAUUCUGUCUGAUAUUGGGCCGCCGUUGUGUUGCUUUGAACGUGUAUUUUUUGGUGGUUAAAAAAAUGUGUUUUAUUUGUUUAAUAAAUAGUUUUGACCAGUAAACUCUCCUUGUUAUGCACCAUGGUGUGGUCUUCCUUUGCUUGUGACUUCUUGAUGUUGGUAAAUACAAUAAUUGAAAAAUACCACGUUACAUAUAAUAUGUACAACACAUUAUGGAGUAUGCUUCUGCUCUGAGGUCCUGCCUCCAUGCACUUAUGCAAUCAAUCGCUAGACAGGUGUAUUUAUAAAUAAUAUUAUAUUAGGGAAAUUUCCCCAGACAUAUAUUUGACCUGGGGGUAGAAUUGAUUGUGAAAUGGAAAAGGAAAAUGCUUAUGAACUUGCAAAUUAAAAACAUUAUGCAUUUAAGGUAACCCUUUUUCAUUUUUAUUUAAAAAGAAAAUUUGUUCUAGUGUGCGAUGGCCGAACCUGUUCCUUUUCGUGGAGAUAAUUUCUCCUGCCUUAAGGAAAAUCCCUUCACAUGGCCCAGAGGAGGCUGGAGUGCAGAGAAACUGGUAGAGAUGCAGUUAUACAGUCUACCUGGGCCCCACAAACGAUCAGAUAAAGAGAAUAAAUAAAUUCAAUUGCUGCACAUUUGGCAGACUAACAUUUUCAGAUUAAUUAAACAAUAAAAUAUAUAUUUUUACAACAUUACAUGUAAAGAGUCAAGUGGAAGUUUUUCUAAAGUUAUUUAAUGAUAUUUAUAUUAUGGAAGCAGAUUUUUGACAUUUUACCUUUUUCCCGUUUUCAGAUAUAAUAAACACGCACAAAACAAAAGCAAACGGCCAGAACACAAAGCUGGAAAACCCACCGGAUUGACAAAAAAUCAACUCAAAAUUCUCCCACACAACAGAACCUCCUCAAUUCCUCGCUGGCUCCAAAUCUCUCAGUGGAAUGAUCAGUGGUUCGCUGUCACCAUCAAAACACUCCACAAAUCCCGUGAAUGAUUCGCUUCCUUAUAAACCAUUGAAUCAGAUACCGAAGCAGUUAGGCUCUAAAUGAAGCUUCGGACGUCACCGAUCACGUGACUCUGGCCAAACGAAUCAAGCUUCGACACAGUGCUUCUGAAGCAGUGUGUUGAUUUUUUUGACACACGCACCAGAGCUUCAGCUUCAAGCGGGUCAUCACUACCCUUUAGAGAAUGGUAAGAGGGACUCUUGCAUUUGUCAUAAUGUGGCAUAUAGUAGGGUGGACCUUGACGACUGUUUCCCUCUUUUGUUACAGGAUUGUGCCAUACUGCUGCUGUUUUGUGCUAUCUUGUUUUGUGUCGUUCUUUCUUGUUCAGUUUUGUUCUGUCUUGUUGUGGCCUUACAAAUGUUUAUGGACUGGCCUCGACUGACUCUUUAUGAUCUUUUACUUGGAAUUGUUUUAUAUAUUGUAAUCUUGCUUUUAUAAAGAACUGUAACUUAGGGAUGGUUUGUUUUAUUUAUCUCUUUUACUAAUUUGUUUAAUGUUUUACGCUUAGUUUUAUUGCUUUAGUGGAGGUGCGGCCGCUUGUUGAGGGGCUAGGCACAUGAGGUGGAAUCCCCUCCUCGAUGCAUGAGAGUGUACACACCAGGCAUAGGUAGACCGCACCAUUUAGAUUUCAGUGUGAGUGACGGUGAGGUUUGCUGUGGAACUACAUUGGUGAGUAAUUGGUGGUACCCUUGGGCACUCCUCUCUGUAGGUUGCCUCAAGUGGCCGGUCUCAACUAUUUUGUUUAGUUACUUUAUCGAGUUAUUUUACUAGGGUGGCAGCGAGCCUUGUGGUUUUAAUCAUUGUUUGUUAAUUGUUUUAAUUAACAGUCUUGCAGUCUUGGCCCUGCUACCCUAAGAACUCUGAUUUCAGUUCUAUGCUUUUUAGUAGUUUUUCUUAAUAAAUUUUGAUUUGUAAAACUGAUCUGCCUCACCUCUGCUGUUAAUAACUAGCCUGUGGGCUUAGGUAGAUAGUGUAACAUCUACACUGGCUAUAAAAAAAUCUUUCCUGGGGUGUAACUCUCCUCUCAGGUGGCGUUGUCACCUUCCCUGGUUAUCCCUCAUUUGCGCCACCACACAAGGCUAUCACCAGCUUCUGCAGCUCCAUCAACAAGCAUUUGGGCACACUCUCAGGAGGGUGCAUUUGCUCACAGAUGACAGAGGGUGCUUUUAAACCAGUACUCUUAAUAUUUUUUUUUUGACUGAUUCUAUUUGCUCCAUCAUUAUUAGCAAACUUACUCAUGGGCAAAUAAAUAAAUCGCCAGUGGGCUCAGCCUAUAGUUGAUAUAUUCGUCCAAUCACCCAACCCUAGAUCUUACACAGACUGCUAUGCUCCUGAGCCUGGCAGUUGCAAUAAAUGUAGAAAUCUUCUAUCUCACUUAGGCUACAUCCACAGGUACCCGGGUAUUUUUGAAAACACAGAUUUUUCUAUGCAUUUGCACCUUUCGUCCACAUGCAAACGGUGUUUUCGGUCACUGAAAACAGAGAUUUUUAAAAACUCCAGCCAGGGUGGAUAUUUUUGAAACCUCAGUUUUUGCGUUUACGUGGACGAGAAAAAAGGAGAAAACGCAGCAUCAAAGGUGUGCGCAUUUUUUGACGUCAUACUGUGCGCCACGUUAUUGUUUCGAUGAAAUGAGUUUCUACAAUGGUGGACUUACACAAAAUACCAUUACUGUUAAUUUUACUCUGCAGUGUUUAAAUGCUUACACAUUUGCUGUCCCUCCACACAUAGGACUCAGUUCUGCUUCUAUUCGCCAUCUUUGUUUACUCUUUCCCACCCAGGCUGACUUCUGAUUGGCCAACAUUUCUACACGGAUAGGAAUAUAGCGCCACCUGCUGCUUUGGCAUGUUCCUAGCAGCGUUUUCCUUUGUUUUUGGCUUUUACGUGUGGAUGGGAUUUUUUUUUUAAAAAUGGAAAAUCUCAGUUUUCAAAAAUACCCAUGUAAGUGUGGACGUAGCCUUACAUGGAUAAGGAUCAAGAUGACAUGGAAUGAGUUUACUACUAUGAGCAGAAGUUAUUCAUGCUUAACUGUAAAUGUUUACUGUUCUUUUUUUUCAUUAAAUUAAAUAUAACAUUAUCAGCAUCUUAUCAGCACAGUGUGAUGCCAUUCUGGUAGCAGACUUAGCUUUGAUUACACACAGGCACACUGAUGUCUGCAUGGACAUUUGUGCCCACCGUCUGAUGACAUAAUUUACUUUACUAUAGCAGACUUAAGUGCACUCAAUCAUUCUUCACCUUUCUUUCUCUAUUGCCUGCCACUGGUGUAUGUCUAUCUUUUCCAUGUUUAAAGGGCACCCCCCACCCCAAAACAAAAAAACACAUCUGGUGGUAGGCGGUAUUUUCGCCACUGACUCCAAAAUCCACCGUUCCCAAUGCAUAACUGAUUAUUUUUACACAUUCUUUUGCAUUUCAGUUUGUUAGGUUUAUACAGUAAAAUUACUUAUGUAAUUAACAUUCCAUGCUUGAACCAAGUGGGAAACAUUGGAGAAAAAGUCAGAAAUGUUAACUUUGCAUAGCCUGGGGAUAGUUCUUAUCAUCUUUAGGAUGGCUAGAAUAAUUUCCACAACUUAUUGACAACAGCAACUACAGUAUGUGGAUAUCAGUAACCAUACCCUUUCAAUUGUCAGAAUAUUAAAAAAUUAUGUAUACGCAAAUUACAAUUUCAAGCUCAGUUAAACCCAAACUGUUAUAUCAGGCAUCUUACUACUUUUUUACAGUUUUAUUGGAGUACUUAAUGGAGUAUUUCUUCCAACAAUUCCAGUCGGUAAAUAAAGGAAUCGUUAUCAAAUACUGAAUGUCUAUCAACUAAAAGCAGGUUCAAUAAAAAUCAGGGGAUCCUGACAAGAAAUACCUAAAAGGAAAGAAUAAAUACUUACCAUAUAGUUCUUGGCUUCUUCCUGGUUCUUACUAAUCUCCCUUUGGGUUCUCUGCAUUUUCUCCCAAGUGUUGUUCAUUUCUGCACCAGUUUUUUCUAUUUUACCUUUUAUCUCAGUGACAGUAUUUUCCAGUUUUUGUUCAACCCUUUCCUUUUGUCGCUGUAUUUUUGUCUUCAUGAUUUCUAACUCAUCCCUCUCUUUCCUUAUCUUCUCCAGCAAACGCUCAAGCUCCCUUCUUUUUUGCUUUUCUCGAAAAUUUGUCCAUUUCGUUUGAGCCUUUACUUCUGUAAAGUCCCUCAUGCUCUGCUUUGUUUCUUCACCCUUGUUACAAAGCACUUCAUUGUUUUCUUCUUCCUCAGAGAUCAAAUUCUGCAUGUAAGUAUUUGGUUUGUCUUUUUCUACAUUUUCCCUUCCUGUCUUUAGUUUCAUUUCAACUCUCUUUAAAUCAUCUCUUUCAGGCUGGAUGUGUGUCACUUUAAAGCUUAGAUCUGAAUCUUGUUGCUUUUGAUAAUCAAUAUUCAUCUUGAUGUUCAUGUGAUUGUUCUCUGCCAUUAGCUGCUGCUUUGCACUUUGAGUCACUUCCAGUUGUUGUUCACUGUCUUCCAGCACAUCCCAAAGUUUCUCCAUCUCUUCCUGGAUUCUACACAGUUUUCUCUUCACUGUGUCAAAUGUGGCUUUUCCAUCGUUUCUUUCUCUCUGUCCUUCUUUAUACAUGUGAAUUUUCUUCAUUUCAGCCUGUUUUAUAAUGCUUGCCCAUCUGUGCUUGACCAUGUUGAUCUUUACAUACAUAAUAUGUUUAAUGUGGUUAAUUUGUUCACUGUUUUUUGAAAUGUCCUUUUUAUUUCUUUUUAAUGCUUGCUGUAUGUUUGCUUUAGUUUUCUCCAUUUUUUCUUUAACUUUCUUUACUUCAAGCAUUAUUUCCCUGUUUUUCUCAGUUGCAUUCUCCAGUAUAUCCAGUUCCCGCUUUACCUGCUCAUUAAGGGGCUCUUUGGGUUCCUCCCUUAUUGGUGAUUCUGUCUUACUAGCUUUUAUAGUGUCUAGCUUGUGUCGCUCGUUGAUGAAGUAUUGACGUCUUCUGUCCAGAGUAUCCUUUUCUUGAUAUAUUUUAGUCCACGUUUUCAGAAAGUUUGUUUUUUCCUUAGCAACUGAAUUUUUGCUUUGUUUGAGUUUCUCAGUUAUAUUUUUUAUUUGGAAGUUAAAUUGCUUUAAUAGUAGGUGAUGUUUAUUUUUUUCAGAUGUCAGUCUCUCAAUGUCUUCCUGUUGCCCCUCUGUCUUUGUCUUUAAGAAGUCAAUUUCAUUUGUCUUUCUUUCUGUCUGUCUCCAGAGUUGUUCGAUCUCCUCCAUUGCUUGACAUAUCAGUUGCCUUUGUCUUUUUAAAGUUUCUUUUUGGGUUUUCAUGUCAGUUCUUGUUUGUUUGCUAUCUGAUUGCUUUCUGUUUUCCAUUGUUGAGUUCCAUUCUGUUGUCAUCCUGCUGUCUUUGUUCUGUUGGUAAAAAUAAAUGAAUAAACAAAGUGGCCAAACCAUAACUAACAAAUGACAAGACAUUCUAAACUCAUACUGUGUUGGAAGAUAACAAGUAAAAGAGGGAUAACCAGAAAUUGACAGAUGGAUUGGGGCCACAACUGCAGUCAUGUGGAUUCUGUACCAGUCCAUCAUGGUGAACAGAGAGCUAAAUAUAAAAGCGAAGAUCUCAAUUUACUGUUUGCUCUACAUCCCUACCCUCACCUAUGGUCAUAAGCUUUGGGUAGUGAUUGAAAGAACAAGAUCACAGAUACAAGCAUGACAUUAGCUUUUUCUGAAGGGUGGCUGCUAAUCCUGCACAUUGAAAGAAGCCAGUUCGGGUGGUUUGUGUGUCCCACAGGGCGGAGGCCCUGGAGGCCUGGGGUUCUCUGCUUAGACUGCUGCCCCCACGACCCAGCCACAGAGAAGAUGGAUAAAUGACAUAAUUGUUUAUAUCACAUUUACAGUAUUUUUUUGGCAACAAUGUAAUAAUGUAGUUGGGUUAUCUGAGGUCUGUUCUAUAGCAAAUGUAGAAAAAAUGUUUUAAGAAGAGCCAAUAUAACUCAGUGUUCUAAAGAAUGUGACUGUUUCCUUGCAAGACCAUAGCGCGGCUACGUCUGCAGCCUGUCCACAGCUUGGACACAAACAUUUCACUGCAUGUGUUACUCUGUAUGAUUGUUGUUUAAUGCUUUUUAAAAUCAUAUUCAAGUAGAUUUUGAAAUGAAGAUAGCUUGUAUUUUUGUUUUUUGCAUUAGAGGUGUUUAAGAAAAGUUGAGUUUUGUAAUUGCAUUUUUACCUUGUUUAUACUUGUACUUUUUUUUUUUUUUAAUAAAUAUCUUGUAUGUAAGGUGACCUUGAGGGUCUUUAAAGGUGCUUAUAAAUAAAAUGUAUUGUUGUUGUUGUUAUUGUUAUUGUUAUUGUUGUUAUUAUUGUUAUUAUUGUUAUUAUUGUUAUUAUUGUUAUUGUUGUUAUUGUUAUUGUUGUUAUUGUUGUUAUUAUUGUUGUUGUUGUUGUUAUAUUUUUUCUCAAUAAUAAUAAUAAUAACACAAAUGCAUAAGCUGCAAACAUGUUAUAUAGUUGUUUGGAAUAGAAUUACAAUGAGAUUAUCUUGGUUUAACAAGAGGUAACUGGAUAUGUUCAGACUUUAAAUGUAAACAUAGCCAAUUUGCAUUGAAUUACCC
ensembl:lncRNA